rnacentral:lncRNA from 1 species
CAUUUUAUUCGUUUUCCAUCCAUACAACAUUUAACCUUUCCUAAGUAUUCGUAUAAGUCCCGGGUUAACACACUUAUAUUGUGUUGGUUCAACUUGAAUACUUGGUUUUCAUUCACCUAUCAUCCUCAAUACACUUCAUAACCCCUUUUGAACUAAAUUUGAGCCUUUAUCCCUUCUUUCUUAACCUAUCUUCGACAAACCUUGAUAUUACUCUAAUUCACGAUCGGGUACAUCAACGACUCGACUCUCAUCACCGAGGCCGGGGCGUAUCAUCUGGUAUCAGAGCUAGCCGAAUCGGAGUAAGAAUCAUCAUCUUUGAUAUUAUGGUUUUGUAAAAAAAAAUUGCCUACGGUCUAGGCGCGGACGAAAAGAACGUGAAAGAUCCGUAAAAAAAAAAAAGAGUCUGGAAACCCUUCAACAAUUUUUUUUUGAAUCAUAAUCUACACUCCUUUAUACUCAUUUGAGUGAAUUUUCACGUUUUCAAAAAAAAAAUUAUCCAAUUUAUUAUUUUUUCUUUCUUUCUUCUUUUGUAUUCGGUAUUAAAAAAAAGAGAAAUUCAAAAAAAAAUUCGGAAUUAAAAAAAAAAGUGAUUGAAAUUCAUUUUAAGUUUUGUUUGAUAGCCUACCAUUUCCGACAUCAUUGCCCACCAAGCCAACUCAAUUUUGUAAGCCGACGACAAACGGUAUUGAUUCGUCUAUUUAGUUUGCGAAGAACUUCGAGAGGUAAAAAAAAAUCGAGUGGAAAAAGGCAAGAGUGAUUGGUGUGAGUUCAUUCGAGAGAAGAAAAGCCAAAAGCGAGCAUAAACGCGAGUGGAGUGAAAAUUUUCUUUCCGAGUGUCUUGCGAAGUUUUGUGGUGAGGUAUUUACUUUCUAUUUUAAACACUUAUUCUUUUUAGCAAAAAAAAAUGUCUCAAGAAGAAUUUUCCGAGUCAGAAUUCCAAUAUUUGAUGCAAGAAGUGCGUAGAAUGGUGAAAUCAAAAUUUGAUAAAUUGCAUAAUCGAUUGGAUCGAAUAGAGAAAAGAGCCCAACGAAAGCAAAUUUCAUCGAGUCAAGAGACGGAGUUAAGAUCAUCUCGACGACACUACUCAACAAGAGACUCUUAUCAAGACUUCUAUUCAACAAUGCGUUCGAGACCAAGAGAAGCAAACUCCGAGUUUGAGUCCUUUCGAGAUAAUAAACGAAAAGGUAAACAUGUCUCUACAAGUGCCUCAAUUUAUUCAUCUACGAAGGAUUAUUUACGAAUAGGCGAACGUGUUUCAAGAGUGUCAAAGUACUCGGCUACGGAAGAUUUAUUACAAAGAGAUGAUUGUCAUUUGUAUGAAGAAUCCUUUUCUUAUUCUCAACAAAAGGAUUCUCAUUUUGAUGAUUUCUACUUUUGUAAUGGAAUUGAAAUAGCAUGUGAAAAAGAAAAAGAGCGCGAGCGAGAAAAUGAAAAUGAAAAAGAAAUGAAAGAAAAAGAAGAUGAGUGUGAGAUAGAAAAGAAAAUUGAAAAUGAGAUUGAGAAUAAAAACGAGUGUGAAAAAGAAAAGAAAACUGAAAAAGAGAGUGAGAUUGAAGGAAGAAAUGAGAGUGCAAAAGAAAUGAGUGAUAUGGUAAAGGAAAGAGGAUUUGAAAAUGAGUUGGAAAAAGAAAUAAGCGAAAAAGAUGAAAGUGAACAAGAAAGGAGUGUUGUUACUAACCAUCCUAUGAAUUUUCCUUGUUUUGUUUCUACUUUUCAGGUUUCUCGAAAUCCGAUCGAUCAAUUUCAACUUCAAUACUUUUCUGAGGAGAGACGAUUUCGAUUAGUCGAGAAAGGUAAAAUCAUAGAUGACUCUAUUCCACCAGCGCCUAAAGGUAAGCAUGGUAAGAGUUCUAUGUUAGUCGAACUUCAACAAAUUCAUAUGCAUGAUAAUGUUGAGAUUGCUGAAGAAUUAGUUAGUAGAAGACUUUCCUAUCCUGAUAUGUCUAAGUAUCAAUUUUUUAUUGGUAAUGACUUUGAUUGGGAUGAUGGAUUGAAAAGUUUUCCUCAUGAUAUUUCUGAUGUUUACAAGUUUGAUGAUGAAACCAGAUUAAAACAACACAAACAAAAUUUGGGAUUGUGUGAUGAAAAGUUGACAUCUAAUCUGUUUGCUUCUGUUGAUCAUGUGAAUUAUCUAAUUUUUGAUUCUGAAAAUUGCUCCAUGUCGUGGUUUAAAAGGUUUGAACAUGUUUUGCAUAAUCAUUACUUAAAAUUACAUCGUUUCUUUUUUAUGAUACCGAUUUUGAAAUUGUCAUAUCAAAUUGGAAUGGCAAGAGGAAACUUUGUUUUUGACCUCGGUGCAUAUCAUUUUAAAUUGUUGUCAAAAAGAUUUGAACUAUGGGAAGUUGACUUCAAAAAUUAUAGCUAUCAAGUGCCUUGUGACCCAGGUUUGUUGCAAUCAAUGAAUUUUUUAAUUCAUUUUGAUAAGGUAAGACCAACUUCUACUUUUGAUCCCGGUAUUGACUCAUAUGUUCACUUGUUGAAUAAGAUCUUUAAAAAUUCUUUUGAGUUUAUGAUUUCUAGUGUCACUAACCUAUCUUUUUCUUGUGUAGGUGACACUUCAGAAUGGUUCCCUCCAAAAGAGGGAGGGCGUGGAAAUAAUUCAAAAUUUUCUCGAACCAUUCGUGAUUUUCAAAGUUUUGGAAAUGAUUCUAUUCGGGUCAUGAACAAAAGGGUUCGAGAUCUUGAAAUUUUUUUUGAGCAAGUGGCCCGAUUUGAGGACAAAUCGUCUUCAAGAGGGAGGGUAUGAUGUGAUCCUGAUCGCAUCAUGUAAAGUCACAACCCAACGCCGUCGAGAUUGGCCUAAACACGAGGGCCCCAAGUGCAAGAUGAAGCUAAUUUUUAGCUCAUUUGAAUUUCUUUUCGUGUGGUUCAACUCAUUCGAGCUCAAGUUAGCUCAUUCGUGCUCAAGUCAGCUCAUUCAAGCUCAAUUUAACUCGUUGAGCUCGUUAUUAGCUCUUUAGCUCUUUUAAUUUAAUUUGCCGGAAUAAAUUAAUUAGUUGAGUUAGUUAUUUUAGCUCAAAUAAUUACUAAGUGUUUAAUUAAGAAAUCUGGACAUUUUAAUUAUGUUUGUUUAUUGCAUGUUUAAAUUGUUUUAAUUAUUACCUAGCAUAAAUGUGUUUGCCUUAUUACAAUUAUUUAAUGUGUGCGAUUUAAGCUAAGUAAAUUUGUUGAAUUUGCUAGGACAAUGUACAUGGACGGCAAAGAAGAGGUGGACAACAUCAUGCAUAAUUCAUGGAAGAAUUUGAGGAAGCAUUUGACCAACAUCAUGCAUAAUUCAUGGAAGAAUUUGAGGAAGCAUUUGGCCAACAUCAUGCAUAAUUCAUGGAAGAAUUUGAGGAAGCAUUUGACCAACAUCAUGCAUAAUUCAUGGAAGAAUUUAAGGAAGCAUUUGGCCAACAUCAUGCAUAAUUUAAGGAACAAAUUGAGGAUGCACCAUGGCCGAAUUUGGCAUCCAAUUUUACCCAUUCGGCUACCCCUUUUUUUUGCCUAUAAAUAUGUGUUAAAUUUCAUUGUAAGGGGAAGAACCUUGAAUUAAUGUUUUUACAUUUUGUGAGAUUGUUUACAACUCUCAUUGUUCUCCAAAGACUCGUUUGACUUAUCAAGUAACCCUUGUGGCGUCAACCCAUUCUUCUUAUCCGAACUUAUCACUUUGCAUCCAAAGUGUGGCGUUCAAGUUAUACCGAGGUUCCUAUCAUCUUUGAUAGUAGGUCAAGGUUCCAUUUUAUUCGUUUUCCAUCCAUACAACAUUUAACCUUUCCUAAGUAUUCGUAUAAGUCCCGGGUUAACACACUUAUAUUGUGUUGGUUCAACUUGAAUACUUGGUUUUCAUUCACCUAUCAUCCUCAAUACACUUCAUAACCCCUUUUGAACUAAAUUUGAGCCUUUAUCCCUUCUUUCUUAACAUAUCUUCGACAAACCUUGAUAUUACUCCAAUUCACGAUCGGGUACAGCAAUGACUCGACUCUCAUCACCGAGGCCGGGGCGUAUCACUAAUAUGGUGGAUUUGUUACAUGAACAAGUCAAGCAAAGCAUAUUCAUUAAAUCAAAUGAAGAAGGAGAUAGGAAUGCAGAAAGCAGAAAUGACACACGACUGCAAAACUAGACUGGGUAAUUCUUUCUAAACCUUCAUGAUGAAUAGUAAAAUUAAUUUAUCAAUUUUUGUCUGGAAUUGCCAAGGAUGCGCAAGUCUCAAAUUCCCACGCAUCUUUAGAGAAUAUAACAUGGAAUUUAGACCAGAUAUUAUAGGACUUUUAGAACCAAAGCUUAGUGGCAGCAAGGCAGAUGAAAUAAUUGUUAAACUUGGAUUUCAUCAUUCACAUCGCAUAGAAGCAACAGGCUUUUCAAGGGAAAUUUGGAUUGGGUGGAAGGAGACAAUUCACCUUGAAAUAAUUCAAAAUCAUCCUCAAUUUAUUCUGGUUAAAAUACAUAAUGGGGAACAAUACAACCCUUCCUACUUGCUAUCAUAUAUGGAAGCCCCAAUUCCACUAAAAGAAAGAAUUUAUGGGAAACAUUAAAAACAAUUAUACCAUCGGAUCAUUCACAUUGGAUGGCAUUAGGUGAUUUUAAUGCAAUUCUUUCCGUUGAAGAUAAAAAGGGUGGUAAUAUCAUAGGGAAAAGAUGCCUACAUUUUGGAGACUUUAUGGACUCCAAAAAUCUUCAAGACUUGGGAUUCCAAUGACCCUCAUACACUUGGCAACGAGGAGGAGUCUUUGAAAGACUGGAUCGUGCGAUAGGAAAUGCAGUCUGGUGUCAAUCGUUUCCCCAAUGCUUAAUAACACACCUAACCCGAAUCAAAUUAGAUCACAGACCAUUGUUAGUAAACAUCAAUCCGGAUUUUAAACUUCCUAGAGGUCAACCGUUCAGGUUUCUUGCGGGAUGGGCACAACAUCAAGACUUUUCCAAUAUCGUUAAGAGUUAAUGAAAAUAUGAAGGGGAUAUGUACAGCUCCUUAAAUCAACUCACUGUAAGGCUUAAAGGCUAGAAUAAAAACGUAUAUGGGCACAUUGGAUACUGCAAACAAAAAUUGAUUAAAUCUUUAAGCUUGAUACAAAUGAAACUUGAAAGAUCCUACUAGUAUUCACUAGCCCAGGAAGAAAUAAAUAUCAGAGAGGAACUGGAGAAUGUUCUUAGCCUUGAGGAAUUAUUGUGGAAGCAAAAAUCCAAAUGCGACUGACUCAAAUUAGGGGAUAGGAAUACAAAAUUUUUCCAUAGCCGUACAAUGCAUAGAAGGAAAAUUAAUCGCAUUAGUGCUCUUCAUGAUAUAAACGGUGAUUGGCUUUAUGACCCAGAAGAUAUCCAGAGUUAAGCGGUUAAUUACUUUCAAAGAUUAUAUGGUGAAAAACCAAAUAGAGUGGGAAAUCUACCCCCAAGUCAAUUCCCUCCAUUAGAAGAUAGCGAUAUCAACUUUUUACAAAAAGAAGUCACGAAUGAAGAAAUCAAAAAAGCACUCUUUGAUAUGGCCCCUCUAAAAGCACCUGGAAGCGACGGUUAUCACACUUCAAAACCAAUGAGAGAACGUAGGAGACGCAGUCUGUACUAGGGUCAAAGAUGUUUUUAAAGGGCGUCCUAUUGAUCAAGAUAUUAACAACACGUUAUCGUCCUAAUCCCGAAUGUUGCCCAACCAAAAGAAAUAUCCCAAUUUAGACCAAUAAGUCUAUGCAACGUCCUUUACAAACUAAUUAUGAAAAUAAUAGCCAAUAGGUUUAAAAUAAUCUUUCCCAUAAUUAUUUUUCAAGAACAAGAGGGUUUCAUCGCCGGAAAAAACAUCACUGAUAAUAUUAUAAUAGCUCAGGAGGUCAUACAUUCGAUGCGUGGAAAAAAUAAAAAGUGGAUGACAAUCAAGAUUGAUUUGGAAAAAAGCCUAUGACAGAGUUCGUUGGGAUUUCAUCGACAAAUCGAUUCAAGCAGCUGGAAUACUAGAUUAUCUAUGAAGAGUUAUUAUGUCAACCAUCACAACAGCUAUUAUGCAAGUUCUAUGGAAUGGAGUACCUACUGAAAAUUUUAAACCUGCAAGAGGAGUGAGACAAGGGUGUCCAUUAUCACCUUACCUAUUUGUCCUAUGCAUAGAAUGGCUAGGGCAUAGCUUCAAAUCCUCCAUCUCCUCAGAAAACUAGAUCCUUGUUAGAUUAUCUAGAUCUGGACCCAACUUGUCACACCUAUUUUUUGCAGAUGACUUGGUAAUUUUCUCAAAAGCAGAUAUCAAACAUGGCAUGCUACUAAAAAAUAUUCUAAACCAGUUCUGCAGUUUUUCAGGACACUGUGACAACACAAGGAAAACCAACAUAUUUUUUCAAAAGGAGUAGCAGAAGAUUUAAGUGAUAGGCUUAGUAGGAUAUUGGGGUACCAGAAAGUAAAAUAAUUGGGCAAAUAUCUAGGUAUCCUUCUUUUCCAUAAAAGAAUUACUAAGUCUAUAGUUCAAUUUGUAAUUGAAAAAGUUUGGUCCAAAUUAUGCAACUGGGAUGCAAAACAACUUUCCAUGGCUGGACGCUUUAUUCUUGUUCAAUCGGUACUCUUAACUAUUCCCAAUUAUUUCAUGCAAUCCAUGAAAAUUUAAAAAGGGGUAUGCGAUGAAAUUGAACGAUUAGUAAGAAAGUUCAUUUGGGGAUCCAACAUGGGGGGAAGAAAAAUAACACUUGUGGAUUGGCAAACAAUAUGCUAGCCACGUACAUGCGGCGGUUUAGGCUUGAGACGAUUGCAUGAACAAAACAAAUCAUUCCUGCUGAAAAUAGGAUUCAAUCUCAUCUCCAAUUGAAAUGCACUAUGGACACGUGUGCUACGGUCGAAAUACGGAGUGAAAUAGGUAAUCCCCGAAAGUAUAAGAAAAGGAAAUAGUUCUGCAUUAUGGAAAACAAUUGAACAGAUUUGGCCUAUGUUAAAAGACAACCUCUAUUGGGCGGUUAAUAAUGGAACAGAAAUCCACUGCAGGAAAGAUAAUUGGGUUCCUACAGUUGGACCGUUGAUUACGCAAAUUCAAAAUCCAAGUAGAUCAAUAAGUGAGUGUCUACUUAAAGACAUGGUAACAGCAGAAGGGGUCUAGAAUUUAGAAGCCUUUACAGAAAAUUUAGCAGAAGAAACAGUGCAAAAAAUUCUUGAAAUACAGCCCCUACAUCAUCUAGCAGGACCAGACAAAGUUAGAUGGAUACCGACCUCUAAUGGAAUUUUUCAAUCAAAACUACUUACCAAAUGAUAAUGGAAAAUACAUGGAAUAAUCGGGACAACGUGGAAAGGAAUCUAGAAAUACUCAAGACCCCAACGCAUUCGAUUCUUCCUCUGGUUAGCCUGUAAACAACGACUACUUACAAACCUUGAAAGGUCACGACGAGCGCUCAGUUUUGAUACCUCCUGCCCGGUCUGCUAGCAAAACACUGAAGAAGCCAUUCAUGUCCUCAGAGAUUGUUCAAUCACAAAAGAAGUUUGGUUGAACAUUGUCCCUGCAAGCUGGCAAACAAAAUUUUUUUCUAGCAAUAUUUUUGAAUGGGUGGAAGAAAACUUAAAGCACAAUGAAUGGCUGAUAUGGGCUAAAACUUCCUGGCCAACCCUCUUCAGACUUGUUGCAUGGCGCAUAUGGAAGAAUAGAAACCUAUUUGUUUUCUAGGAUAUAACAUGGAGCUUAACGGAGACAAUCAAUAUCUCUGUCUGUUGGGCAAGACAGUACACAAACUUAUAUAUAAGGAAUCCAUCUUAGGAAUUAAACGAAAAAAUAGAACAGGAC